rnacentral:rRNA from 1 species
UACGUAGGCAGCGAGCGUCGUUCGGAGUUACUGGGCGUAAAGGGUGUGUAGGCGGUUCUUUAAGUUUGGUGUGAAAUCUCCCGGCUCAACCGGGAGGGUGCGCCGAAUACUGAGGGACUUCGAGUGCGGGAGAGGAAAGUGGAAUUCCUGGUGUAGCGGUGAAAUGCGUAGAUAUCAGGAGGAACACCGGUGGUGUAGACGGCUUUCUGGACCGUAACUGACGCUGAGACACGAAAGCGUGGGUAGCAAACAGG